rnacentral:rRNA from 1 species
UACCCSGSUGAAACUUAAGCAUAUCAAUAAGCGGAGGAWAAGGGACUGACWWKGWUUCASYUWGUMWCUGSGAGUGAAGCGGGAUAAGCUCAAAUUUAAAAUCUGGCGGCUUUGCUGUCCGAGUUGUAGUCUGGAGAAGUGCUUUCCGUGCUGGACCGUGUAUAAGUCUCUUGGAAUAGAGCGUCAUAGAGGGUGAGAAUCCCGUCUUUGACACGGACUACCAGUGCUUUGUGAUGCGCUCUCAAAGAGUCGAGUUGUUUGGGAAUGCAGCUCAAAAUGGGUGGUAAACUCCAUCUAAAGCUAAAUAUUGGCGAGAGACCGAUAGCGAACAAGUACCGUGAGGGAAAGAUGAAAAGCACUUUGGAAAGAGAGUUAAACAGUACGUGAAAUUGCUGAAAGGGAAACGCUUGAAGUCAGUCGCGUUGUUCAAAACUCAGCCUUGCUCUGCUUGGUGCACUUUUUGAAUAACGGGCCAGCAUCAAUUUUGACCGUUGGAAAAGGGUUGGGGGAAUGUGGCACCUUCUGGUGUGUUAUAGCCUCUAGUCGCAUACAACGAUUGGGAUUGAGGACCGCAGCGCGCCGUAAGGCAGGGGUUCGCCCACUUUCGCGCUUAGGAUGCUGGCAUAAUGGCUUUAAACGACCCGUCUUGAAACACGGACCAAGGAGUCUAACAUGCCUGCGAGUGUUUGGGUGGAAAACCCGAGCGCGUAAUGAAAGUGAAAGUUGAGACCUCUGUCGUGGAGGGCAUCGACGCCCGGACCUGACGUUCUCUGACGGAUCCGCGGUAGAGCAUGUAUGUUGGGACCCGAAAGAUGGUGAACUAUGCCUGAAUAGGGUGAAGCCAGAGGAAACUCUGGUGGAGGCUCGUAGCGAUUCUGACGUGCAAAUCCAUCGUCAAAUUYSSGUAUARSGKCGAARRACUMMYCGMMCCAUCUAGUAGCUGGUUCCUGCCGAAKUUYYCCCYYCARGRAA